rnacentral:lncRNA from 1 species
GGUAUGUUCAUGCUCAUGCUCAUCAUUGCCUUCUGUUCUUCAAUUCCUGCAUCAGUUCAUUGUUAACUUGUCUAGGAGUAUCAUACGCUGUGUAAAUUUAUAGUCUUUUUCUACAAGUUCAUUGCUAUGAAGUGUAAUUAUUUGUUGAUUUGACUCUAACAGGAAUCGCCCGAUUAUUUGAGGGGACUCAUAAAGACGACUAGGACCUUAACUGAUAAACCUUUCGGGGUUGGUGUCGUUCUAGCCUUUCCUUUUGAGGAGAAUUUGAAGGUCAUUCUGGAAGAAAAAGUUGCAGUCUUGCAAAUUUCAUGGGGUGAUUGUACAACGGAACUAGUAAAUAAGGCUCACGCUGCUGGGGUCAAAGUUGUUCCUCAAGUGAGUUUUCUGUUCAUUUAUUAAGAGUAUCAGGUUACUAACUAUACGCAAAUCCUAAAAGACAAUGAUAUCUUAAUUUUGGUUUUCUUUUUAUUUGCUUUGCAUAUUAAUUAUUCCGUUCUUGUGCUUUUUGAUGCCUGGCUGGAUUUAAACUUAGCCCAUUUUAUUUUCAUGUUAAGGAUAAUUAAACUCGAAAUUCGUUUGAAGUCAUGAUGAACCCUCAGUCUGCUAUAACUUGUACCAUUGCUGAGUUUAUAUUUCAUGAUUCUCCUUCCUUAUUUAUGCUUAGAUAAACUUUCCUGAAGUACUUGCAGAUUUAGCUUCUUCAAAGAGCUGAUAUUAACUUAUAUAUAAAUCAAUUUUAGCAUAUGAAAAAACAUAUUUCAUUUCUUGUUUUUGUCAGUGUUUAUGAAGAAAUUUAUAUUGCUAGUGGAUAGGUUGAUUGACUUAAGUGAUAUGCAGUCCCUUUUGUGAGGCAUGUUGAAAGCUAAUUGUAGGUUAUCGUCUGAAAUCUAAUCUGGGACUCGUAUUUUUAAUCCUAUUACAGGUGGGGAACAUUGAAGGUGCGAAACAAGCGAUUGAAGCAGGUGUGGAUGGGAUAAUUGUACAAGGACUUGAAGCUGGUGGUCAUGUAUUGGGUCAGGUGUGCAUGCUUGUCAUAAUUUUGAUAUAGUCUAUGUAGUAGUGGUUGCAGGUGUUGAAUAACUACACAUUACAUUGUUUUUCCUUGAGACACUUUUCCACAAGGGUAUUUUUUUGCUUGUGUUUUCUAUUCAAUAAAAGUCUGGAAAGGUAUUGAUUUAAGGAAGUGAUGAAUUAAAAAGCAAAAUUUCAUCACCAAUGCUUUUCUAUCAGAAAUAAUGAGUGUGCAAUUUCAAAUAUAUUCAAAUAUUCCCCAUACACUUGCAGAAAACCUUUCUAGUUAAAAGUAUUGUUGAAAUCUGGCUUGUUGGAUCUUUUCAGUAUUCACUGCCUCAUGUCCUUAGUUGUUUUGAGGGGAAGACCGUCACUUGUAUAUGUAACAUUCUCACAACCUUUGAAAAAGUUCAUCUUUUUGUUGUCUACCACCACCAUUGCUUAGUUGAUCAUUAGCAGCUGAUAUGAAUGAUAGCUAAUCAUGUUUUUUCAAUCGUGGAUCACAGACUACUAUUUUCCAUCUUUGCAUUGCCACUGAGAGACAGUGCUUUUUUCUUUCACGUAAUUGUAGGAUGGUCUAAUUACAUUGGUGUCAAGGGUGGUCGAUCUGGUUGGUGACAGAGAGAUACCAGUUAUUGCAGCUGGAGGAAUUGUGGAUAGUCGGGGUUAUGUUGCUGCUCUAGCCCUUGGUGCUCAAGGCGUCUGUUUAGGCACCAGGUUUUGAAAUAUUACUUUCACAUUAAUCAUAUUUGAGUAAAUUGCUCUCCUAUUGUUGCUGUAGUAUCUUGGCAUAUGCAAUUUUUGUCUUUAAAUCAAGAAUUCUGCCUCCAUGAUAGAAGCCUGCAAUGAGGCUUAUAAAUUCCACAAUUUAUUCUUCAUGAGAUUAUAGGUCUGUUGUGAUGAGAUAUACGAAGGUGCCCAACACUAUCUCCAUGUCCAACCUAAUAAUCUCAAUUUAAGUUAGAUUAUUCCUGACACUAUUACACAUUUUCAUAUAUGUUUUCAUGCCAAGAGUCUUGUUUGCAGGUUUUUGGCAACUGAGGAAAGCAAUGCUCAUUCUACAUACAAAAGGAAAUUGGUUGAACUUGAUGAGACUGCAUACACGGAUGUGUUUGGGAGGGCAAGAUGGCCUGGUGCUCCUCAUCGUGUCUUGCAGACACCUUUCUAUAAGGAAUGGAGAUCGCUUCCGGCACACGAAAACGAAACCA